rnacentral:rRNA from 1 species
ACGCUCGACACCUACGGGAGGUAGCAGUGGGGAAUAUUGCACAAUGGGGGAAACCCUGAUGCAGCGACGCCGCGUGAGCGAAGAAGUAUUUCGGUAUGUAAAGCUCUAUCAGCAGGGAAGAAAAUGACGGUACCUGACUAAGAAGCCCCGGCUAACUACGUGCCGNNGCGCGAUACUNAGCGGCGUGNGAGNG